rnacentral:rRNA from 1 species
UCAAGCUACAAAGGGCUCACGGAGGAUACCUAGGCACAUAGAGGCGAUGAAGGACGUGGUUACCUGCGAUAAGUCUCGGGGAGUUGGAAGCACACUUUGAUCCGGGAAUUUCCGAAUGGGGCAACCCCUUGAACGACCAACUGAAUAUAUAGGUUGGUGCGAGCUAACCCAGCGAACUGAAACAUCUUAGUAGCUGGAGGAAGAGAAAGUAAAUAACGACUCCCUCAGUAGCGGCGAGCGAACGGGGAAAAGCCCAAACCGAUAGUCUUGACUAUCGGGGUUGUGGGACAGCAACAUGGAUUAACAAGUCUAGAAGAAGCGUUUGAAUGGCGCGCCACAGAGGGUGAAAGCCCCGUAAUUGAAAGAUGAGUUGACCUAGCUGUAUCCCGAGUAGCACGGAGCACGUGGAAUUCCGUGUGAAUCUGCGAGGACCACCUCGUAAGGCUAAGUACUACUAUGUGACCGAUAGUGAAACAGUACCGUGAGGGAAAGGUGAAAAGAACCCCGGAAGGGGAGUGAAAUAGAACAUGAAACCGUGAGCCUACAAGCAAUGGGAGCCCGACUAAUCGGGUGACCGUGUGCCUGUUGAAGAAUGAGCCGGCGACUUAUAGGCACUGGCGGGUUAAACCGAAAAUGGUGGAGCCACAGCGAAAGCGAGUCUGAAUAGGGCGUUUGUCAGUGUUUAUAGACCCGAACCUUGGUGAUCUAACCAUGGCCAGGAUGAAGCUUGGGUGAUACCAAGUGGAGGUCCCAACCGAAUGAAGUUGAAAAUUCAUCGGAUGAGCUGUGGUUAGCGGUGAAAUGCCAAUCGAACCAAGAGCUAGCUGGUUCUCCCCGAAAUACGUUUAGGCGUAGCGUCUAGUGCUCCAGCAGGGGGGUAAAGCAACCAUUUCGGUGCGGGCUGCGAAAGCGGUACCAAAUCGAUAUGAACUCUGAAUACCCUGUGUGUAACUAGGCAGUCAGACUGUGGGGGAUAAGCUCCAUAGUCAAGAGGGAAACAGCCCAGACCGCCAGCUAAGGUCCCAAAAUUAACGCUAAGUGAUAAAGGAGGUGGGAUUGCCCAGACAACCAGGAGGUUUGCCUAGAAGCAGCCAUCCUCAAAGGAGUGCGUAAUAGCUCACUGGUCGAGCGAUCCUGCGCCGAAAAUGAAUGGGGCUAAGCGUUAUACCGAAGCUGCGGAUAAUUUAUUUAUGGUAGGGGAGCGUUCUAUGUUGGGUGAAGCGUUAGCGUAAGCGGGCGUGGACGGCAUAGAAGUGAGAAUGUCGGCUUGAGUAGCGAAAACAUGGGUGAGAAUCCCAUGCCCCGAAACCCUAAGGGUUCCUCCGGCAGGCUCGUCCGCGGAGGGUUAGUCUGGACCUAAGGUCAGGCCGAAAGGCGUAGUCGAUGGAUAACAGGUCAAUAUUCCUGUACCAGAUGUGUUUUGGGAAGGGGGACGGAGAAGGCUAGCCAAUCCAGAUGUUGGUUACUGGUUCAAGCGUUCAAGGCUUUGAGAGAUGGUGAAAACAUCUUGAGCUGAGGCGUGAGUACGAGCUGCUACGGCAGCGAAGUUGGUGAUGUCAUGCUUCCAAGAAAAGCCCUAUACCCGUUAAGACACAAAUGCCAGUACCCGAAACCGACACAGGUGGGGUGGUAGAGAAUACCGAGGGGCGCGAGAUAACUCUCUCUAAGGAACUCGGCAAAAUGGCCCCGUAACUUCGGGAGAAGGGGUGCCAGCGAGAGCUGGUCGCAGUGAAGAGGCGCAAGCGACUGUUUACCAAAAACACAGGUCUCCGCUAAGUCGCAAGACGAUGUAUGGGGGCUGACACCUGCCCAGUGCCGGAAGGUUAAGGAAGCUGGUUAGCUUUUAGCAAAGCUAGCGACUGAAGCCCCGGUGAACGGCGGCCGUAACUAUAACGGUCCUAAGGUAGCGAAAUUCCUUGUCGGGUAAGUUCCGACCCGCACGAAAGGUGUAACGAUUUGCGCGCUGUCUCGGAGAGAGGCUCGGCGAAAUAGAAUUGUCUGUGAAGAUGCGGACUACAUACACCCGGACAGAAAGACCCUAUGAAGCUUUACUGUAGCUUGAUAUUGUGCUCGGGCUUUGAAUGCGCAGAAUAGGUGGGAGACAUUGAUAUAGUGCUUGUGGGUACUAUUGAGUCAACGGUGAGAUACCACUCUUUCAGAGCUAGGGUUCUAACGCUUACCCGUUAUCCGGGAAGCGGACAGUAUCUGGUGGGCAGUUUGACUGGGGCGGUCGCCUCCUAAAAGGUAACGGAGGCGCACAAAGGUUCCCUCAGGCUGGUUGGAAAUCAGUCGUUGAGUGCAAAAGCAGAAGGGAGCUUGACUGUGAGACCUACAAGUCGAACAGGGACGAAAGUCGGUUUUAGUGAUCCGACGGUUCUGCGUGGAAGGGCCGUCGCUCAACGGAUAAAAGUUACUCUAGGGAUAACAGGCUGAUCUCCCCCAAGAGUUCACAUCGACGGGGAGGUUUGGCACCUCGAUGUCGGCUCAUCGCAACCUGGGGCUGAAGUCGGUCACAAGGGUUGGGCUGUUCGCCCAUUAAAGCGGUACGCGAGCUGGGUUCAGAACGUCGUGAGACAGUUCGGUCCAUAUCCGGUGUAUGCGCAGGAAUAUUGAGAGGAUUUCUCCCUAGUACGAGAGGACCGGGAGGAACGCACCUCUGGUGUGCCAGUUAUCGUGCCAACGGUAAACGCUGGGUAGCCAUGUGCGGAGUGGAUAACCGCUGAAAGCAUCUAAGUGGGAAGCCCACCUCAAGAUGAGUAUUCCCAUGGCAUAAGCCAGUAAGGUCACGGGAAGAACACCCGUUGAUAGGCUCUACGUGGAAGCUUGGUAACAAGUGCAGCGGAGGAGUACUAAUAGACCGAGGGCUUGACCAA